rfam:Glomerella graminicola M1.001 genomic scaffold supercont1.102, whole genome shotgun sequence.
GGCCGGGUGGCGCAAUGGCAGCGCAUCACUUUCCGGUGGUGGAGGUUCUGGGUUCGAGUCCCAGCUCGGUCG